UGUGCCAGCCGCCGCGGUAAUUCCAGCUCCAAUAGCGUAUAUUAAAGUUGUUGCAGUUAAAAGCUCGUAGUUGAAACUUGGGCCUGGCUGGCGGGUCCGCCUCACCGCGUGCACUCGUCCGGCCGGGCCUUCCUUCUGAAGAACCUCAUGCCCUUCACUGGGCGUGCUGGGGAAUCAGGACUUUUACUUUGAAAAAAUUAGAGUGUUCAAAGCAGGCCUUUGCUCGAAUACGUUAGCAUGGAAUAAUAAAAUAGGGCGUGCGUUUCUAUUUUGUUGGUUUCUAGAGACGCCGCAAUGAUUAACAGGAACAGUCGGGGGCAUCAGUAUUCAGUUGUCAGAGGUGAAAUUCUUGGAUUUACUGAAGACUAACUACUGCGAAAGCAUUUGCCAAGGAUGUUUUCAUUAAUCAGUGAACGAAAGUUAGGGGAUCGAAGACGAUCAGAUACCGUCGUAGUCUUAACCGUAAACUAUGCCGACUAGGGAUCGGGCGAUGUUCUUUUUCUGACUCGCUCGGCACCUUACGAGAAAUCAAAGUUUUUGGGUUCUGGGGGAAUUAUGGUCGCAAGGCUGAAACUUAAAGAAAUUGACGGAAGGUCACCACCAGGCGUGGAGCCUGCGGCUUAAUUUGACUCAACACGGGGAAACUCACCAGGUCCAGAUGAAAUAAGGAUUGACAGAUUGAGAGCUCUUUCUUGAUUUUUCAGUGGUGGUGCAUGGCCGUUCUUAGUUCGUGGGGUGACUUGUCUGCUUAAUUGCGAUAACGAGCGAGACCUUACUCUGCUAAAUAGCCAGGCUAACUUUGGUUGGUCGCCGGCUUCUUAGAGAGACUAUCAACUC
rnacentral:rRNA from 1 species